UUCUUGCUUGCAUAUCCGACACACGGAUGGUUGAAGUGGAGGUGCCAAGCAACAUGUCAACAACUUCUCCAUUGAUGCCGCAAACAGGACAUCAAUAACAGCAAUAUUUCGUCAUUAUCAGUCCUUCCAUCAAAAUAAAAAGGAAAUAAAGAGAAGAGACGAGUGAUGGUGAGGGUUUACCGUGAAGUUUGUCGGUCGGAGAUAAAGACCGCCGCCGUGAGCCGGAAAAGGGGGAGUCGAAGGGGGUGUGGCCGGUGAACCGACUGGAGGUGCUCCGUUUUGUCGGGUUACAGGGAACCAAAGGGGGGGGGUGGUGAAAUGAGAUGUUUGUGUUAUGUAUGAGGUGUAUAGGUGAAGAACCCUGUGUUGUAGAUAAGAUGCAGGGGGUUUGGGAGGGAAACAUCUUUGGGAGCGGCUGA
rnacentral:lncRNA from 1 species